GAAAUGCGAUAAGUAGUGUGAAUUGCAGAAUUCAGUGAAUCAUCGAAUCUUUGAACGCACAUUGCGCCCCUUGGUAUUCCAUGGGGCAUGCCUGUUCGAGCGUCAUUUGUACCCUCAAGCUCUGCUUGGUGUUGGGUGUUUGUCCCCGUCUCCGCGCGUGGACUCGCCCCAAAGUGAUUGGCAGCCGGCGUACGGGUCCCGGAGCGCAGCACAUGUCGCGCAAACGAGUGCCUUGGUACGGCGGCGUCCAUAAGCCCCUCUCUCACGCUCUUGACCUCGGAUCAGGUAGGGAUACCCGCUGAACUUAAGC
rnacentral:misc_RNA from 1 species